rnacentral:rRNA from 1 species
UGCAAGUCGAACGGUGAAGCCAAGCUUGCUUGGUGGAUCAGUGGCGAACGGGUGAGUAACACGUGAGCAACCUGCCCUGGACUCUGGGAUAAGCGCUGGAAACGGCGUCUAAUACUGGAUAUGAGCUCUCAUCGCAUGGUGGGGGUUGGAAAGAUUUUUUGGUCUGGGAUGGGCUCGCGGCCUAUCAGCUUGUUGGUGAGGUAAUGGCUCACCAAGGCGUCGACGGGUAGCCGGCCUGAGAGGGUGACCGGCCACACUGGGACUGAGACACGGCCCAGACUCCUACGGGAGGCAGCAGUGGGGAAUAUUGCACAAUGGGCGGAAGCCUGAUGCAGCAACGCCGCGUGAGGGAUGACGGCCUUCGGGUUGUAAACCUCUUUUAGCAAGGAAGAAGCUUUUGUGACGGUACUUGCAGAAAAAGCGCCGGCUAACUACGUGCCAGCAGCCGCGGUAAUACGUAGGGCGCAAGCGUUAUCCGGAAUUAUUGGGCGUAAAGAGCUCGUAGGCGGUUUGUCGCGUCUGCUGUGAAAUCCCGAGGCUCAACCUCGGGCCUGCAGUGGGUACGGGCAGACUAGAGUGCGGUAGGGGAGAUUGGAAUUCCUGGUGUAGCGGUGGAAUGCGCAGAUAUCAGGAGGAACACCGAUGGCGAAGGCAGAUCUCUGGGCCGUAACUGACGCUGAGGAGCGAAAGGGUGGGGAGCAAACAGGCUUAGAUACCCUGGUAGUCCACCCCGUAAACGUUGGGAACUAGUUGUGGGGUCCUUUCCACGGAUUCCGUGACGCAGCUAACGCAUUAAGUUCCCCGCCUGGGGAGUACGGCCGCAAGGCUAAAACUCAAAGGAAUUGACGGGGACCCGCACAAGCGGCGGAGCAUGCGGA